AUCCAGCUGAUGACCAGUCCCAAAUAGGACGAAACGUGCGUCAAACUGGAU
rfam:Schistosoma mattheei strain Denwood, Zambia genome assembly, scaffold: SMTD_scaffold0014723